AUUUGGAUUGUUUGCAGCUUUUGGUAAUUAUGGAUAGAACUACUACAAACAUUCCUGUAUAGAUUUUUAUGUGAACUUGAGUUUUCAUUUUUCUUGGGUAAAUACUUAGGAAUGAAUGGAUGGGCCAUUUCGUAAGCAUAGGUUUAACUUUGUUAGAAAUUGCCAAACUGUUUGCCAGAGUGGCUGUACCAUUUUGUAUUCCCACCAGCAACAUAUGAGAAUUCCAGUUCCUCCACAUCCUUGCCAGCAGCUGGUACUGCAGUUUUGUUUUGUUUUUUUUAAGUCAUUCCAACAGGUAUCCCAUUGCAGUUUUAAUUUGCAUUUCUCUAAUGGCUAAUGAUAUUGAGCAUCUUUUCAUGUGCUUGGUAAAGUGUCUUCAAAUCUUUUGUCUAUGUUUAAAUGGGAAUGUUUGUUUUCUUACCGAGUUAGGUCUUUAUGUAUUCUCAUUGCAAGUCCUUUGUCAGAUAUAUAUGUGUUGCACAUAUUUUCUCUCAGCCUGUGGCUUGUCUUUUCACUUCAGAGACUAAGGUUUGACUGAUUAAAUGCUGAGCGCUAGAGGUUUCAGGCUCUCUUGGUAGAAGAAAGUAAGGAAAUUGAGACCUUAGUCAGCAGAACGAUGUGAGGACCACCCCUUUUGAAGCUGUUUAUUUAAAAUACCAGAGUGGGGAAAGGGGUGCACCAAGACUGAGUUGUGCAGACAGAUGUCUGAAACUUUCUUUGAUUCCUUCUCUCUCUCCUGUCCCCACCUAUGAUGUGGAUUCUGGGCUCUUACCUUUAGCGGGGUUCUUCAGUUCCUGCUAUCACUCCAAACCCAUUGAGGCCUCUCCAGCUCCACAAACACCAACGGAAUACCCGAGAGGGCAGGCCAGCUUCUUGCCAGAGUAUAUUCCAGACUGAAAUAGUUUUUGAUAAGUAAUCAUUCCCAAGCCCUAAAGUGAUAGCCUCCAAGGAGUCACCCACUUUGAAGAGCUUCUUUCAUCUCCAGCUGGCCUCUUUUCCAAACAAGCAUCGGCAGCGCCUAAGCAGGGCUCUGCCACUCAGGGCUCUGCCAUGAGAAGCAAAUUGGCAGCAACAGACAGCCCCCUGAGGCACUGGAAUUCAGUUCUCGGAACAUACAUUAAAUGUGGAUGAGAUAUUUAUUUAUCAUGGGACUCUUUCAUGUUGCAUGGAAUUCCUUCCACAGGGCAGCCCACUUAGGUACAGGGGAGGAAAUAUGUUCUGCCCCUUUGGACAAAAGUCAAGAAAAGGUACUAUGUGGAAUCUUGUCACUUUUUAAUUGCUGACAUUCUUAAGGUUUUUUUCUUAAACAGCAUUGCCACUGGCUAGACACUAGCAGAGUUCCUUUUCUCUCUGCGCAUGACAUGGAUCACUAACACCGCAUGUGAUGGGAGGAGGAGGAGGAGGCCUGCUUUAGUCUUAGAGGUCUGCCCAUUUCUCCAGGAUAAUGCAGUCUGGUCAAGGCUCUCUGCCUUCUGACCCCAGUAGGAGUGAUGUGUACAGAGAAGAAUUUCUGACCCUUUACUAAUCUCAGUUAUUUGAAUGCCUUUUUGUAAACAAAGCAUCUUUUAGGCAAACUUAAAACUUUUCCUGCUCAUGUAGGUACAAAUUUCCCACUUUCCUAAGAACAAAUAAAUUCAAUUAAAGAUAAAACUGUAAUGUGGAAUAAUAGUUCAGGCUUUAAAAACAAAGGGAGGGGUUAAAAACAAGUUCUGCAAUAAAUCUGCAAGUAUGGAAUCUAAGGGAAAUGAUCCCAUCUGGAAAACUCUACCAGUGGUGCCGUGGCUGGUUUGUGGAGCAGUGUGCGGAUCGUGGAGUGAAAAAAGACCCCGCAGUCUUGAAAGAUGACAGCCUUCUUAAUUGAUGUCCAUUUCAGCUGGUGCUGUGCCAGCUUAUGUUGGCCCCAGUCCAGCGUGCCUGUAAUUUGGGAGCCAGGUGUGAAGCAUUUUUGUUCCAUCUUGUUCCCCAGCAUCUACAGAAGCCUCACGCAUCUCACUUGAGGCAGCAGCACUCUGUAGGAAACAGAUGUACAGGUAGAGGUGGAAGGAAGUGUCACAGCUGGGUUAUGGAUAUUAAAAAAAAA